GUAGGUGAACCUGCGGAGGGAUCAUUACAAGAACGCCCGGGCUUCGGCCUGGUUAUUCAUAACCCUUUGUUGUCCGACUCUGUUGCCUCCGGGGCGACCCUGCCUUCGGGCGGGGGCUCCGGGUGGACACUUCAAACUCUUGCGUAACUUUGCAGUCUGAGUAAAACAAACAAAUAAAUCAAAACUUUCAACAACGGAUCUCUUGGUUCUG
rnacentral:misc_RNA from 1 species